UGAACAACAAAAUUAAUUCUGUUUUUCGAGAAUAUUUUCAAACGAUACACAAAAACACAGCACCGGCACCAGAAUCGUCUUUGUUUUAGGAUUAUAAUUUUAGAUAAUUUUUGUUGUUGCACCUCGUAUAUUUUUUGUUAAACCAAAGAUCUGCCAUCCAUAAUUCACUGUCAGCCAUUGUCGUCGCAUAUGGAAGAAUUUUCUUUUAUUGCAUACAUAUCUAUCUAUGGGGUCCUUCAACUGUUGACCAGAAAAAAUGCAUUUCAAAUGAUGUAUGCUUAUAUUUCGAUUGCUUUAAUUGGGAGAACAUAAAUUAAUCAAUCAGAAGGUGUGCGACGACGGCUACUACUAAGAAUUACAUACAUAUAUGGUUCAAAGUCCCAGCAGGCGGAGCGUAGAGAGGCGAUGGGAAUGGAAUCUAUCAGGCGGUUGUUUGCGACGUCAUGCCGCAAUCUCAAUCUUCGACGGUGACACAUUCCUCCGCUAGCAGUAUUCUCGCCCUGUAAUCGGCUCAGAGAAAGAGGAUAGAGUCCGGCUGUACCCAGCAGAUAAAAGCCAAAAAUUUGACAAGCUAUAACACUUUCUACCUCUUAAAGAUAACCUGUCAAAGCAGGCGGUUUAGGGGUAUAUCUUAUUUGAUAUACGAAAUGUAGUCCGCAAAGGUAGAUCUCUUCGAUAUGCUUUCAUUCACAUCCUUUUAAAAUUCACAAUCGAUAACGGAAUUCGAUAUGUAUCGAUAUCAUAUCAAUAUCAA